AGGAUAAACGCUGGCGGCGUGCCUAACACAUGCAAGUCGAACGUCCUACGCAAGUAGGGAGUGGCGGACGGGUGAGUAACACGUGGGCAAUCUACCUUUCGGUGAGGAAUACCGGCGAGAAAUCGCCGACAAUACCGCAUACGCUUCGCAAGAAGCAAAAUCGCAAGACGCCGGAGGAGGAGCCUGCGCCCGAUUAGCUGGUUGGUGGAGUAAUGGUCUACCAAGGCGACGAUCGGUAGCUGGUCUGAGAGGAUGAUCAGCCACACUGGGAUUGAGAACGGCCCAGACUCCUACGGGGGCAGCAGUGAGGAAUUUUCGUCAAUGGGGGAAACCCUGAACGAGCAACGCCGCGUGCAGGAAGACACUUUUCGGAGCGUAAACUGCUUUUCUCGGGGACGAGUAAGGACGGUACCCGAGGAAUCAGCCCCGGCUAACUACGUGCCAGCAGCCGC
rnacentral:rRNA from 1 species